GCGCUGCUGAGGAGUUCCACAAUAGGACGAAACGACCGUCCAAUGC
rnacentral:hammerhead_ribozyme from 1 species